rnacentral:misc_RNA from 1 species
GAUGAAGAACGUAGCGAAAUGCGAUACGUAGUGUGAAUUGCAGAAUUCAGUGAAUCAUCGAAUCUUUGAACGCACAUUGCACCUCUCGGUAUUCCGGGAGGUAUGCCUGUUCGAGCGUCAUUUGUACCCUCAAGCUCUGCUUGGUGUUGGGUGUUUGUUCCGCCUCUGUGUGUGAACUCGCCUCAAAACAAUUGGCAGCCGGCGUACUUGUUUCGGAGCGCAGCACAUUUUGCGAUCCAGAUGAACGUACAGCGGCAUCCAAGAAGCCUUAUUUAACGCUCUUGACCUCGGAUCAGGUAGGGAUACCCGCUGAACUUAAGCAUAUCAAUAAGCGGAGGA